AGCAGUGUGAUCUCAUGGAUAGAGUAUGGGCCUGGGAGGCAGAAGGCUCUGGGUUCAAGUCCCAGCUCUGCUA
rnacentral:tRNA from 1 species